GGCGCUGUGGUUCGAAAGGUAUGACAAUAGAUUUAGGCUCUAUCCCAAUGGGGUUGCGGGUUCGAGUCCCGUCGGCGUCA